GACGAACGCUGGCGGCGUGCUUAACACAUGCAAGUCGAACGGUGAAGCGCCUUCCUUUUUGGCUGGUGGGGAUGAGUGGCGAACGGGUGAGUAACACGUUAGUAACCUGCCCCCUUCUUCUGGAUAACCGCAUGAAAGUUUGGCUAAUACGGGAUAUUCUGGGUCUGUCGCAUGAUGGGUUCGGGAAAGAUUUUGUUUCGGUGUGGGAUGGGCUCGCGGACUAUCAGCUUGUUGGUGGGGUGAUGGCCUACCAAGGCGGUGAGGAGUAGCCGGCCUGAGAGGGUGGACGGUAAUAGUACGGAUGAGACACGGAGCCGACUACGACGGGCGGCAGCGGUGAGGAAUAGAGCACGGGCGGCAGAAGGCUGAUGCAGCGACGCGGCGGGGGAGAUGGAGGCCUGCGGGUUGUGAACCUCUUUCGCGAGUGAAGCAGGGCUGCCUAGUUUGUGGGUGGGUUGACGGUAGCUGGAUAAGAAGCGCCGGCUAACUACGUG
rnacentral:rRNA from 1 species